UGUAAUUUCAGUACUUUGGGAGGCUGAAGCAGGAAGAUCACCUGAGCCCAGGAGUUUGAGACCAGUUUGGACAACAUAGUGAGACCCUAUCUCUACACACACAUUUUUUUUUUUUUAAUUAGCCAGGUGUGGUGGCUUGCACCUGUAGUCCCAGCAACUCAGGAGGCUGAGUACAUCUCUUCACAUAUUAAAGACUUGAAGAGUGAAAUGUUUGAGGAACUACUUAAGCACCUUUGCCACUCUGCAGAUGAAUUCCGGGAGGUCAUAAAAGCUGACAUGCGGAGGCAGAUGUUCGCUGAACUCUUCCUACAUUGUGACCACGGGAAGGUAGGGUUUUUGGAUCGGCAGAGGACAUUGGCCCUGCUGGAAUUAUUCUAUGACCAUAGUUCACCAAUGCUUAGGAGUUUACUUCGAAACCCACGACAAUGGCCAUUCAUUGAAUUUGAAGAGAUAAACUUGACUGAGUUGUGGGGAGACAUGGAUAAUCAGAAACACAUUUACGAAGGU
rnacentral:sRNA from 1 species